rnacentral:tRNA from 1 species
AUCUCUUUAGCUCAAUUGGUUAUAGAGUGUUGUGUUGUUAACAUGGAGAUUGUAAAGUUGUAGGUUCAAGUCCUACAUGGGCCA